rnacentral:rRNA from 1 species
GAUUUCUGGUUCGACAUGCCCGACCUAGUGUGGCGACACAUUAAGUGUCGGUGUGUGUCUGCCAUCUUUGCCAGAGAACGGCGCCUCCCUUAAAUGGGCCGGCGUCGCCAUCUGGAUCAUUUACUUUGAAAAAAUUAGAGUGUUUAAAGCAGGCUUGCGGCUAUGAAUACAUUAGCAUGGAAUAAUAAUUUAGGACUUUUGUCUUAUUUUGUUGGUUUCUAGGACUUAAGUAAUGAUUGAUAGGGACAGUUGGGGGUGCUAGUAUUCAGCGGCCAGAGGUGAAAUUCUUGGAUUCGCUGAAGACUAACUUAUGCGAAAGCAUU